CAGUAGCCGCGGUAAUACAGAGGGUGCGAGCGUUAAUCGGAUUUACUGGGCGUAAAGCGUGCGUAGGCGGCUUUUUAAGUCGGAUGUGAAAUCCCUGAGCUUAACUUAGGAAUUGCAUUCGAUACUGAGAAGCUAGAGUAUGGGAGAGGAUGGUAGAAUUCCAGGUGUAGCGGUGAAAUGCGUAGAGAUCUGGAGGAAUACCGAUGGCGAAGGCAGCCAUCUGGCCUAAUACUGACGCUGAGGUACGAAAGCAUGGGGAGCAAACAGGAUUAGAUACCCGUGUAGUCCCUGUCUCUUAUAA
rnacentral:rRNA from 1 species